UACGGGGGGGGCAAGCGUUGUUCGGAAUUACUGGGCGUAAAGGGCUCGUAGGCGGCCAACUAAGUCAGACGUGAAAUCCCUCGGCUCAACCUGGGAACUGCGUCUGAUACUGGAUGGCUUGAAUUCGGGAGAGGGAUGCAGAAUUCCAGGUGUAGCGGUGAAAUGCGUAGAUAUCUGGAGGAAUACCGGUGGCGAAGGCGGCAUCCUGGACCGACAUUGACGCUGAUGAGCGAAAGCUAGGGGAGCAAACGGG
rnacentral:rRNA from 1 species